rnacentral:rRNA from 1 species
UACGUAGGGCGCAAGCGUUAUCCGGAAUUAUUGGGCGUAAAGAGCUCGUAGGCGGUUUGUCGCGUCUGCCGUGAAAGUCCGGGGCUCAACUCCGGAUCUGCGGUGGGUACGGGCAGACUAGAGUGAUGUAGGGGAGACUGGAAUUCCUGGUGUAGCGGUGAAAUGCGCAGAUAUCAGGAGGAGCACCGGUGGCGAAGGCGGGUCUCUGGGCCGUAACUGACGCUGAGGAGCGAAAGCCAGGGGAGCAAACGGG